AUAAGAUUAAGUUAAGUUAGACUAUGUGUUUUCAAAACAUAAAGUAGUGAUUUAUUGCUAUCUUGUG
rnacentral:tRNA from 3 species